AGCAGCAUGGCGCAGCUGGCAGCGCGCGGGGUCUACAUAUUGCUUCCUUGUAUUGACACUCCGCGGUCAUUCGUUCGACUCGAGUUGCUGCUA